rnacentral:rRNA from 1 species
AUGGGGUCCCCGAAGGCGGCCAGGAGCAAGGCGGGCCAGCUGGGCGGCAUCUGGCGCCGCAGGGUCGGCGCGCCCUUCGCCGCCCUCCUCGUCGCGGCCGUCCUCGUCCUCGUCCUCUUCACCGGCCGCUUCCCGCAGGGCCCCGACGCUUCCUCGCGGUUCACCCCGGUACAUGUGGACGACUCCACCCCCCGGACGGUGCGCGACCGGCCGGUCUCCUCCACGGACCAAGACUUGGAGACAUCUGAUUCCUCAAAGCAAGAAGGGGAGACGUCUGAUUCGUCAAAGCAAGAAGAGGAGGGGAGUGACCAAAAAAUUGAGCUUGAUGAAUCUUCCAUGGAGGCAAUGGAAGAGCAGAAACAGCCUCCAGAGGACACUCCUGAGACCAAACCAGCAUCUCAAGGCACUACUCCAGCCAACUCCGACUUGGACGGCGAGGGAGGGAUGGCGACCACGACCGCGCCGGACCAAGAAGAAAGGAAUGCAGGAGGAUCUGGUUCAGCACCAUAUACCAAGUGCACACCUCCACCGAACUCGACGGUCUGCGACCUCUCCAACUCACGCUUCGACAUCUGUGAGUUGUGCGGCGAUGCUCGCACCAUUGGUCAGUCGUCCACUGUCAUGUAUGUCCCACACACACAAACUUCCGACGGUGAAGAGUGGAGUAUUCGAGCCCAGUCUCGGAAGAACCUUCCCUGGGUCAAGAAGGUGACUGUCAAAUCUCUGAAUACCUCGCAACCAGCACCAAGGUGCACCUCCAAGUAUGCCAUGCCAGCCAUUGUAUUUGCCCUUGGUGGGCUCACAGCAAAUGUGUGGCACGACUUCAGUGAUGUCCUUGUUCCACUGUUCCUCACUGCCCGCCAGUUCGACAGGGAUGUUCAACUCCUUGUGACAAACAACCAACCCUGGUUCAGCAAGAAGUACAUGACAAUCCUGAGCAAACUCACACGACACGACAUCAUAGAUUUUGAUUCAGACGACCAGGUCAGGUGCUAUCCGCAUGUCAUUGUUGGUCUGAGGAGCCAUGGUGACCUUGGCAUCUAUCCAAACCUGUCACCACAGAACUACACAAUGAUGGACUUCCGGUUGUUUGUCCGGGGAGCCUAUGGUCUGCCUGCAGCCAAGGUGGCCAUUCCCUACAAGGCUGAUAGAGAUGAUCCUGACAAGAAGCCCCGCAUAAUGCUAAUUGAUCGGGGCAAAACCCGGAGGUUCAUCAACGCACCGUACAUUGUCCAAGGGCUGGAAUGGUUUGGUUUUGAGGUGGUCAAGGUUGACCCGAAGAUGGACUCUAGUCUUGAUGAAUUCGCCCGCCUUGUUGACUCGUGCGAUGCAAUCAUGGGCGCGCAUGGCGCGGGCUUGACUAACAUGGUGUUCCUGCGAUCAGGGGGAGUGGUGGUGCACAUUGUGCCGUAUGGGAUUGAAUUCAUGGCUGAUGGGUUCUAUGGAAAACCGGCACGGGACAUGGGCCUAGGCCAUGUCAGGUACAGCAUCAGUCCAGAGGAGAGCACGUUGCUGGAGAAAUAUGGGUGGAACCAUACUGUGAUCAAAGACCCCAAAGCCAUUAGGAGCAGUGGAUGGGACAAGGUUGGGGAGGUUUACAUGUCCAAGCAGGACAUUGUCCUUAACAUGACAAGGUUUGGGCCUGUUUUGCUGAAGGCAAUAGAUUUUAUCAUGUAG